rnacentral:rRNA from 1 species
GACGAACGCUGGCGGCGUGCUUAACACAUGCAAGUCGAACGGAAAGGCCCUGCUUUUGUGGGGUGCUCGAGUGGCGAACGGGUGAGUAACACGUGAGUAACCUGCCCUUGACUUUGGGGUAACUUCAGGAAACUGGGGCUAAUACCGGAUAGGAUCUCCUGCUGCAUGGUGGGGGUUGGAAAGUUUCGGCGGUUGGGGAUGGACUCGCGGCUUAUCAGCUUGUUGGUGGGGUAGUGGCUUACCAAGGCUUUGACGGGUAGCCGGCCUGAGAGGGUGACCGGCCACAUUGGGACUGAGAUACGGCCCAGACUCCUACGGGAGGCAGCAGUGGGGAAUAUUGCACAAUGGGCGGAAGCCUGAUGCAGCAACGCCGCGUGCGGGAUGACGGCCUUCGGGUUGUAAACCGCUUUCGCCUGUGACGAAGCGUGAGUGACGGUAAUGGGUAAAGAAGCACCGGCUAACUACGUG